rnacentral:tRNA from 1 species
GGUUUAUUAGUUUAAUAAAAAUAUAGAUUUUGUAAGUCUAAGAUGGUUUAACAAUCCAUUAACCU